GCUCCCUUCGUCUAGUGGCCUAGGACGUCGCCCUCUCACGGCGAAAACAGGGGUUCGAGUCCCCUAGGGAGCG
rnacentral:tRNA from 1 species